UACGUAGGGUGCGAGCGUUGUCCGGAAUUACUGGGCGUAAAGAGUUCGUAGGCGGUUUGUCGCGUCCGUUGUGAAAGCUUGGGGCUCAACCCCAAGGUCUGCCAGUGGAUACGGGCAGACGUAGAGUCAGGUAGGGGAGAACGGAAUUCCUGGUGUAGCGGUGAAAUGACGCAGAUAUCAGGAGGAACACCGGUGGCGAAGGCGGUUCUCUGGGCCUGUACUGACGCUGGAGGAGCGAAAGCCGUGGGGAGCGAACAGG
rnacentral:rRNA from 1 species